rnacentral:rRNA from 1 species
GAUCAAGUCAAUAAGGGCACACGGUGAAUGUCUUGGCGUUGGGAGGCGAUGAAGGACGUAGGAACCUGCGAUAAGCCAAAGGGAGCUGGUAACCGAGCCGUGAUCUUUGGAUCUCCGAAUGGGGAAACCCGGCCGCAAGGUCAUCCUGUACUGAAUGCAUAGGUGCAGGAAGCGAUACCCAGGGAACUGAAACAUCUCAGUACCUGGAGGAAAGGAAAUCAACCGAGACUCCGUGAGUAGCGGCGAGCGAAAGCGGAUAAGCCAGUGAGACAAUGAAGCGUUUGAAUGGCGCGCCAAAGAAGGUGAAAGCCCUGUAGUUAUGAAUCUGGUUAGCCCACGAGUAGCGUCGGUCCCGUGGAACCCGGCGUGAACAUGGGGGGUCCACCCUCCAAGGCUAAGUACUACCCAACGACCGAUAGUGAAACAGUAAGGCGACUGAAAGAUGAAAAGAACCGCGAUGAGCGGUGUGAAAGAGUACCUGAAACCGUGUGCUUACAAGCGGUGGGAGC